rnacentral:sRNA from 1 species
CUUGGUCAUUUAGAGGAAGUAAAAGUCGUGACAAGGUCUCCGUUGGUGAACCAGCGGAGGGAUCAUUACCGAGUACUAUAACUCAUAACCCUUUGUGAACCUUUAUACCUGUUGCUUCGGMGGCGCGCCUCCCGGGGCGUGCCCGCCGGCAUUAUCAGAAUCUCUGUUCGAACCCGACGAUACAUCUGAGUGUUCUAAGCGAACUGUUAAAACUUUCAACAACGGAUCUYUUGGCUCCAGCAUCGAUGAAGAACGCAGCGAAACGCGAUAUGUAAUGUGAAUUGCAGAAUUCAGUGAAUCAUCGAAUCUUUGAACGCACAUGGYGCCUUCCAGUAUCCUGGGAGGCAUGCCUGUCCGAGCGUCGUUUCAACCCUCGAGCCCCCGUGGCCCGGCGUUGGGGAUCUGCCCAGGCAGUCCCCGAAAACCAGUGGCGGACCCGUUGGGCCCUUCCUUUGCGUAGUAACAUCUGCCUCGCAUCGGGAGCCUGCGGGCUAUCCGGCCUCUAAACCCCCCUCAAGCCCGCUCCGGCGGCACCAAGGUUGACCUCGGAUCAGGUAGGAAUACCCGCUGAACUUAAGCAUAUCAAUAAGCGGAGGAAAAGAAACCAACAGGGAUUGCCUCAGUAACGGCGAGUGAAGCGGCAACAGCUCAAAUUUGAAAUCUGGCUCCUUCGGGGCCCGAGUUGUAAUUUGCAGAGGAUGCUUCGGGUACGGGUUCCUUCCGAGUUCCCUGGAACGGGACGCCAUAGAGGGUGAGAGCCCCGUCUGGUAGGACACCCAGCCCGUGUGAAGCUCCCUCGACGAGUCGAGUUGUUUGGGAAU